UGAUGGGAACCACCAGUUUGUGCUUGCUGUGACUCAACAUGUGGUCCUGAAGGGGGACGUGAUGCUCCUAUUGGGGUAGGUGUUCAGUGGGAAGGCAAGGCCUCACUCGGUCCUGUAAUGGUUCAAGGACGACAGAAGACUCUAGCAAGACUUCAAUAAAUGGGUGUUGGAAACCCUAUUGCUGACUUUCAAUAAAUGCACAACCUUGUUCUUG